rnacentral:rRNA from 1 species
CGCGUAGGCUGUUUGGUAAGUCAGACGUGAAAUCCCUCGGCUCAACCGGGGAACUGCGUUUGAUACUGCCGAACUCGAGUCCUGGAGAGGGUGGCGGAAUUCCUGGUGUAGGAGUGAAAUCCGUAGAUAUCAGGAGGAACACCGGUGGCGAAGGCGGCCACCUGGACAGGUACUGACGCUGAGGUGCGAAAGCGUGGGGAGGCAAAACA